rnacentral:lncRNA from 10 species
GCCAGGUUUUUCUGGGAAAUGGCAAACCUCUCACUGCCCUUCCCAGAAAGGCCUUCCUCCUGCCAGGAGGCUGUUUAAUCAGAACCACAAACAAUCGUGAAUAAAGGGAAGGUAGUCAUAUUAAGCAGCACCUGUCCUGUAGGGAACGCAAUGAUUGCAGAGGAAAAACACAGAGUGAAGCCUGCUUGCAUCUCCCUGGGGUGUAGAGACUGACUUCCUCCCACAGCAUGAGAAAAUUAAUGCUGGGAGAUUUAAAAUGAAUUGCCCAAGAACACACAGUAUGACAUUGGCAGAGCUGUGGGCAACUUCUGCUAUCCCUGUCUUGGAAUCCAGUCACCAUGUAAAAAAUGCCACUGCCCUGAGACCACCCACCAUGCUGUUAAGAAGCCCAAGCAAGUGAAGUCACCGUAUACUAGAAUGGAAAUUUGAUAGGUAAGUCCACAAGAGUGUCCAAGGCAUAGUGCAUAUCCUAUAGAAACUCAGCUGUUGGGAAAAUGCAGACAAUCAUGUUGGUCAAGAGCAACACAUUCUCAUGGCAGAAGAAAUUUGCAAAUUCACUUCAUUGCUUUCAAAAGGAUUUGGAUUCUCAGGCCGAAUUGUCCUGAAAUCAAAAGUGCAGUUGACACAGUUUUGCCUCUCAUCCUGAGCAUCCUUGUCCACCAUUAAAAUUUAGGAAGAAGGUUUACUCCUGGAACAAACAUUGUACCUGGGUCAAAUAUUGGUCCUCAGU